GGGGAUUUGGCUCAGUGGUAGAGCGCUUGCUGAGGAAGCGCAAGGUCCUGGGUUCGAUCCCCAGUCCCG
rnacentral:tRNA from 1 species